rnacentral:lncRNA from 1 species
CUCUUCUCCGGUUGCAGUCUGAAAAUAGCACACGGCGAGGCGCAAGGGGGACCCGAAAGGGGCUCUGUCCUGCAGGAAGUCUAAUUCCCGAGCCUUUGGUGGUAUUGGGACCUGGGCCAGAGGAGGUGACCUCAGCCAGACAGCACCCCGGGAUUGUGCUCGUUGAUACCAGAGGCUUACAGAGCAGAGACACAGCGACCGUCAUCUCCUGGGCGCACUGAGUCACAGCCCAGCAGGUUGACUGCGUUACUAAGUGUGAGCUAACCUGCUAUGUGGAGCAAACUCUGCGCCCAUGUAAUUACAUACUCCAGUCAGCGGCUGGGUGUGUUCAUACGUUCUUGCUCAGAAUCUUUGCUCCAAGAAAAAGGGAGAAAUGAUAAAUCGGAACCACACUUUGGUUUCUCCACUUGAACACCAUUUCGUGCGCUAGUUGGGAAAAGAAUAAAGAUUGAAGAAGUCCUACGGUGAUGCGAAUUGAAGGAAAUUUGGAUCCUGUUUUUGUAAGGUCGCUUUUCUUUCAAAGACGCUACUACGCUGCCCCUGGUAAGCCCGCGUCCGUCUUUACCUCUUUUCUCCUUGCGUAAGUGGCUCUCUGGUUCAGAGAGGUGUGCCUCUGAAUGUUCGCCACUGAAGAAAAUGGUGGAAAAUCACCAAUAGAUUCUAACUUGGGACGCUGCAAAUUUUAAGAGAUUCGUAGCAGGAAGUCAUCUUCACAUGGACAAGUGUUCUUUUUUUGUUAGGCCAUUUUGUAGAACGUCUGAAUAUUUGUGGCCACUGAUCAAGAACUUGACUCAAAUUAACAUUUGGUGAACCUUUUCUUUGCAGACUUCCUAACCCUUACAUUAAAAGCAAAAAAAUUUAUUUACUUAUUUUGAGAGCAAGGGGUGGGGUGCAUGCGAGCAGGGAAGGGACAGAGAGAGAGAGAGAGAGAAAGAAAGAAUCACAGGCAGGCUCCACACUGUCAGCGCAGAGUUGGGCUCAGGGCUCCGUGUCACUAACGGUGAGAUCAUGACCUAAGCCAAAAUCAGGAGUCAGAUGCUUAAUGGACUGGGCCAUUCAGGCACCCCUAACCUUGACAUUUUAUAGGCUGAAAUGCUUGAUAAUACUUUUAAGUGCAUUCAGCAAGCAUUUACACCAGAUGCAUUUUGUUAUAUUUUGCUUAAUGUAUGCGCCUAAUAACGAUUGCCUCCCAUGACUGAUCUUUAGAUCUGUAUGUGUAUGUAACCACAUACAGAACCACUGGCACACAUUCUUUUACACUAAAUUUGUCCCCAGCUUGAUUUUUUCCUUAAAUUAAAAAAAAAAUUUUAAAUGUUUAUUUAUUUUUGAGACAGAGUGGGGGGGGGGUGGGGCGGGGGGCAAGGAGAGAGAGGAAGACGCAGAAUAUGGGGCAGGCUCCAGGCUCUGAGCUGUCAGCACAGAUCCUGACGUGGGGCUUGAACUCAUGAACCGUGAGAUCAUGAUCUGAGCUGAGGUCAGAGGCUUACCCGUCUGAGCCACCCAGGCGCCCCCAAUUUUAUUUUCCUUCUCAUUCUCAUUCUUCAUCUGCUAGUGUUAUGCUGAUUUAUAUAUUUGUUAAACCUAUUCCCAUCAUUUUGAUGUUAUGACAAGGUAACAAAUGAUGAAAUUAAGCAAUGCCUUCAUGGUUUUUGCUAGGAAAAAGCCAGAGAUAGUAUAAAGAGGACAAUGAAUAUAUAUAUAGAAGUUUUAGAUCCAGACUCCAAGCUCGGCCCAGCAUUAACUGAGUGAUCUUGGGAAGUAACUCAAGUCCUCUGAGCCUUAGUUUCCUUAUUUGAAAAUUAGGAAUAUUAGAACCUAUAUUGUGGGAUUAUUGUGCGAAUCAGAGAUGACAUUUAAAAUUCAUAUAACAGGGUGCUAUAAAUAGUAUUUUUAUCAUUAAUAAUGUUCACUGAUAUUAUGUAUUAUUAUUCCUGCACUAAGAUGCAGAACUCUCUAACAAUUACAAUGUAUCACCUUAUUUUUGAACAUUAAAGUGAAUGACUUUCAAAAGACAUGCAUCAAAGAUCAUUUCAUAAUUUUCUAAUAAUAAAAAUCUUCUCAUCUUACUUAAAAUGUGUUUCUUAUUUUUAAAGCAGUGAGUAGCUUUUGAGAAGUCUUUUUUUUUUUUUUUUGGCAUCUUUUUUUUUUUUUACAUCCAAGUUAGUUAGCAUCUAGUGCAACAAUGAUUUCAGGAGGAGAUUCCUUAGUGCCCCUUACCCAUUUAGCCCAUCCCCCCUCCCACAACCCCUCCAGUAACCCUCAGUUUGUUCUCCAUAUUUAUGAGUCUCUUCUGUUUUGUCCCCCUCCCUGUUUUUAUAUUAUUUUUGUUUCCCUUCCCUUAUGUUCAUCUGUUUUGUUUCUUAAAGUCCUCAUAUGAGUGAAGUCAUAUGAUUUUUGUCUUUCUCUGACUAAUUUCGCUUAGCAUAAUACACUCUAGUUCCAUCUACGUAGUUGCGAAUGGCAAGAUUUCAUUCUUUUUGAUUGCCGAGUAAUACUCCAUCAUAUAUACAUAUACAUAUAUAUAUGUGUAUAUAUAUAUAUAUAUGUGUGUAUAUAUGUGUAUAUAUAUAUAUAUAUAUCACAUUUUCNNNNNNNNNNNNNNNNNNNNNNNNNNNNNNNNNNNNNNNNNNNNNNNNNNNNNNNNNNNNNNNNNNNNNNNNNNNNNNNNNNNNNNNNNNNNNNNNNNNNNNNNNNNNNNNNNNNNNNNNNNNNNNNNNNNNNNNNNNNNNNNNNNNNNNNNNNNNNNNNNNNNNNNNNNNNNNNNNNNNNNNNNNNNNNNNNNNNNNNNNNNNNNNNNNNNNNNNNNNNNNNNNNNNNNNNNNNNNNNNNNNNNNNNNNNNNNNNNNNNNNNNNNNNNNNNNNNNNNNNNNNNNNNNNNNNNNNNNNNNNNNNNNNNNNNNNNNNNNNNNNNNNNNNNNNNNNNNNNNNNNNNNNNNNNNNNNNNNNNGUUGGCCAUCUGGAUGUCUUCUUUGGAGAAGUGUCUCUUCAUGUCUUUUGCCCAUUUCUUCACUGGAUUAUUUGUUUUUUGGGUGUUUGAUAAGUUCUUUAUAGAUUUUGGAUACUAACCCUUUAUCUGAUAUGUCAUUUGCAAAUAUCUUCUCCCAUUCUGUCGGUUGCCUUUUAGUUUUGCUGAUUGUUUUCUCUGCGCAGAAGCUUUUUAUCUUGAUGAGGUCCCAAUAGUUCAUUUUUUGCCUUGGUUUCCCUUGCCUCUGGAGAUGUGUUGAAUAAGAAGUUGCUGCGGCCAAGAUCAAAGAGGUUUUGCCUGCUUUCUCCUCGAGGAUUUUGAUGGUUUCCUGUCUUACAUUUAGGUCUUUCAUCCACUUUGAGUUUAUUUUUGUGUAUGGUGUAAGAAAGUGGUCCAGGUUCAUUUUUUGCCUGUCACUGUUCAGUUUUCCCAGCACCACUUGCUGAAGAGACUGUCUUUAUUCCACUGAAUAUUUUUCCUGCCUUGUCAAAAAUUAGUUGGCCAUACACUUGUGGGUCCGUUUCUGGGUUCUCUAUUUUGUUCCAUUGAUCUGAGUGUCUGUUUUUGUGCCAGUACCAUACUGUCUUGAUGAUGACAGCUUUGUAGUAUAGCUUGAAGUCUGGGAUUGUGAUGUCUCCUGCUUUAGUUUUCUUUUUCAAGAUUGCUUUGGCUAUUCAAGGUCUUUUCUGGUUCCAUACAAAUUUUAGGAUUAUUUGUUCUAGCUCUCUGAAGAAUGCUGGUGUUACUUUGAUAGGGAUUGCAUUGAAUAUGUAGAUUGCUUUGGGUGGUAUCGACGUUUUAACAAUAUUUGUUCUUCCUAUCCAGGAGCAUGGAAUCUUUUUCCAUUUUUUUGUGUCUUCUUCAAUUUCUGUCAUAAGCUUUCUAUAGUUUUCAGUGUUUAGAUUUUUCACCUCUUUGGUUAUAUUUAUUCCUAGGUAUCUUAUGGUUUUUGGUGCAUUGUAAAUGGGAUCGAUUCCUUGAUUUCUGUUUCUGUUGCUUCAUUGCUGGUGUAUAGGAAUGCAACUGAUUUCUGUGCAUUGAUUUUAUAUCAAGCAACUUUGCUGAAUUCAUGAAUCAGUUCUAGCAGUCUUUUGGUGGAAUCUUUAGGGUUUUCCAUAUAGAGUAUCAUGUCAUCUGUGAAGAGUGAAAGUUUGACCUCCUCCUGGCCGAUUGGGAUGCCUUUUAUUUCUUUGUGUUGUCUGAUUGCAGAGGCGAAGACUUCCAAUAGUAUGUUGAAUAACAGUGGCGAGAGUGGACAUCCGUGUCUUGUUCCUGACCUUAGAGGGAAAGCUCUCAGUUUUUUCCCCAUUGAGGAUGAUAUUAGCAUUAGGUCUUUCUUAUAUGGCUUUUAUGAUCUCGAGGUAUGAUCCUUCUAUCCCUACUUUCUUGAGGGCUUUUAUCAAGAAGGGAUUUUGUAUUUUGUCUACAUCUACUGAGAGACUCGUGUGAUUCUUGUCCUUUCUUUUAUUGAUAUGAUGAAUCACAUUGAUUGUUUUGUGGAUAUUGUACCAGCCCUGCAUCCCAGGUAUAAAUCCCACUUGGUCGUGGUGAAUAAUUUUCUAAUGUAUUGCUGGAUCUGGUUUGCUAAUAUCUUAUUGAGGAUUCUUGCAUCUGUGUUCAUCAGGGAAAUUGGUCUACAGUUCUCCUUUUUAGUGGGGUCUUUGUCUGGUUUUGGAAUCAAGGUAAUGCUGGCUUCACAGAAAGAGUUUGAAAGUUUUCCUUCCAUUUCCAUGUUUUGGAACAGCUUCAAGAGAAUAGGUGUUAACUCUUCCUUAAAUGUUUGGUAGAAUUCCCCUGGAAAUCCAUCUGGCCCUGGACUCUUGUUUUUGGGGAGACUUUGAUUACUAAUUCUAUUUCUUUACUGGUUAUGGGUCUGUUCAGAUUUUCUAUUUCUUCCUGUUUCAGUUUUGGUAGUGUAUAUGUAUGGAGUUUGUCCAUUUCUUCCAGAUUGCCCAUUUUAUUGGCAUAUAAUUUCUCAUAAUAUUCUCUUAUUAUUGUUUAGGCAACAGGCCCUGCUCAUCGUUUCAUGUCUGUAUGUUGGCUGCUCUUUGAGAUAGUUGCCACCCAUACUCAGUCAGCUAGUACCCAGGAGUUUGCAUGGUAUAAAACGUGGCUGCCCCUUGGCAAAGACCAUGGAUGGGUUGCCUUCUCUCCUAUGGCGUUGUGAGCAUGAUAGCAAUGUAUUUGACAAAUCUACCAUAACACAAGAAGUUGAAUGGAAAAUUAAUGGUUUGGGUUCCUUGAAGAGGUGACAGAGCAUGGAACCAAGAGCACAGAGAACUUGAUUUGGACUGAAACAAGAGGAGACCUUAUUUCCCAAGAGAAGAUUGGAGGGAUGGAUGCACAGGUUGAUAAAUUUUCUUGGUCUAUCAGGAGGGAAUUGAUGGAUUUCAAGCUGAUGGCCUCAGUUUCCUCAAUGACUUAGGACGCAAGACUAAAGAGAUGGGACAGUAGGAUUUAGGUCUUCAGAAUAUGGAAAUGGCUUGGAUUUACAACUGAGAGGAAUGGGAAACACAGAAAGUUAGGUGGUCAGCUCUGGGAAUCCAACAGAGCGUAGAGGACUUGAAUUGCUUGCGGUAGUGCAAUUUUAUCCAGAAGUGGACGUUGCCUGUUGUGUCUCCCAGAGUGGAAAAGAAAAAAUUUCAAUUCUGUUGUUCUACAUUAUUCUAAUUUGUCUUAAGCAGAACUUUUCUGGGACAUCUGGAUGACUCAGUGGGUUAAGUAUCUGACUCUUGAUUGCAGCUCAGGUCACGAUCUCACAGUUCAUGAGUUGGUUCAGGAGUUUGAGCCCCACAUCAGGCUCUGCGCUGACAGCAUGGAGCCUGCUUGGGGUUCUCUCUCUCCCUUUCUGUCUGUUCUUCCCCACUCUCUCAAUCUCUUUCUCUCUCAAAAUAAAUACAUAAACUUAAAAAAAUGUAGAGCUUCUCUAAUCCAUCCAUUAUAUUAAAGAAUACGGUAUUUUUCCCAGACUAUUCAUAGGAUUUCUAAAAUAGUCAUUCCACUUUUAAGAUUGCAUGAUGUCAAAUAUAGUAUUUUAAGUUACAUCUAUAAUGCUUUUAAAAAAGGUUCCUAAAGAAGAUGGCUUUCUGAUGCAGAAACAAUAAAGAAAGGAAAAGGGUAAAUACUAUGGGGGGAAGGGUAGACUGUCUGUGUAAGCAUAGAAAAUAUCGAUUAAAAAAAUGGUUUCUGGGGGCGCCUGGGUGGCUCAGUCAGUUCAGUGACUGACUCUUGGUUAUGGCUCAGGUCCUGAUCUCAGGGUUCAUGAGUUCAAGCCUGCAUCAGGCUCCGUGCUGACAGUGUGGAGCCUGCUUGGUAUUCUCUCCCUCUCUGUGCCCUUCCUCCAUUUGUGCUGUCUCUUCCUCUCUCAAAAUAAAUAAAUAAACUUAAAAAAAAUUUAAACCGUGGUUUCUGAAAUUAGGCUUUCUGGUUUUCAAAUUCCAGCUGCAUCACUUAAUAUCUGUGAGAUCUGGAGCAAGUUAAACUGUUGCCUCAACUGAGGAUAAUAUCUAUAUCAUAGGGUUGUUGAUAGGAUUAAAGGAAGCAGUUUACAUAAAGAUGUGCUAUAGUUCCUGGCCCCAAAUCAGUAUGUAAUGUUUACUGAGCACAAUUAAGAUGUUUCUUAUUGUCGCUUUUCCUUUAGCCAAGUAAACUGACAAUGGCCAGCUUGUCAUAGAUCUUUGUGAUCUCACAACUACAGUAAGCAACUAACUUCGUGCCUGUGCCAAGAAAGCUUUAACUCUAGUAUCAUACUGCCCUGCUGUUUCACUUUUCCUUUCCUGGUCAUUGAUUUAGUGCUUAUUUGUUUUUUAUUGCAGUAGAAACAGCCAAAAGAAGAAGGGACCAUAUGUAUGGAUGGGGCUGGUACGAUCCAUGCUUCAACAGCAGUCCCUUCAACCUUGCUUGAAUGUGGAGGUUCGAUAGACCACCAGACUCCAGGGAUAAACUACCUUGGCUUGAAAGGAACGCUAUCAUCACUGAUAGCUGACCACUAUGUUGUUCGCCAGCAUAUGAAAGCUACGCUGAAUUGUUUAACAACGUUGUGUUUCAACUGAUGAGUAGAAAACUUCACUGAACCAUGCACAAUAAUGGAGGUGACCUUCUAUUCUACAUUCUCUAUUAUACCUUGCUAUGGGAGUUAUUUUGCAAUGACAAAAGUUCCUGUCUAGGGUCUUGACACAUCUUAAGAUUUUGAUAUUGGGAAUUCUUCCUUCCCAUCGAAUGUUGGUUCUAAAUCCAUUGAACUAUUUUAAGUGUUUAAAUUGCCAGUAUUCUUUUUGUGCUUUGCUAUUCACUUUCUGGUCCUGGUCUACAAGGAUUUUCCUGUACAUGCCAGUACUGUUGUUCAGAGACAUCAUUUCCUUGAGAAAGAAGUCCCCUCCAAAAUGUCUUGUUAUCCCAUCACAAAGAUGAAUAAUGUGUUCUAAAUCCUGGUAAAAAUUUCUCCUCUUCCUUGUGUUUUUCUUUUUUUUUUUUAAAUGUUUUUUCAACGUUUAUUUAUUUUUGGGACAGAGAGAGACAGAGCAUGAAUGGGGGAGGGGCAGAGAGAGAGGGAGACACAGAACCGGAAACAGGCUCCAGGCUCUGAGCCAUCAGCCCAGAGCCCGACGCGGGGCUCGAACUCACGGACCGCGAGAUCGUGACCUGGCUGAAGUCGGACGCUUAACCGACUGCGCCACCCAGGCACCCCAUUCCUUGUGUUUUUCAAGAACAAGCAUAGACAACGGCAAUAAUUUAAACAUCUUAUUUUUCCCCGAAAUGUUAGCUUUCCAAAAUGGGAAGAUCUCUUUGAGUGAUUAGAUCUUUAAGAUAAUUGGUUAGCUGACUUUAAAGCCAUCGUUAUUUCCUUAUUCCCAAGAGCAGAGAACUUUCAGAGAAAAGUUUAUUAGUUCUUCUUUAAUACAUUAAUAAGUUUCACGUUGUCUCACUGGCCCACGCAUGAACCAAUCUUUCAGGUUUUGUCACUGUUUUCUUGUAACAUAAACCCGUAUUUCUUGGGUUGGGUUGCUUUGCCUAUACUGUGUAUCAGUAGGUGUUUCUAAGCUAGGAAAGCAGUGUAGGCAUCUAUGAACUCACAUACUUGGUGGCAGCAUCUUUAGUAAACAGGAUAACUGCUCCAACUGAAGCAACCAUUAUGGUUCCAUAAACAACACCCGUCUUUCCCCCGCCUUUUUUGUCUUAUAUCUUGCACUGCCUUGUCUGAUUCUGUACUCUAGGAGAUAAAGCAGUUACUGCUAAAUCAUUCAUUAGUUAAUACCUUAGAUGCAAGAGCCAUGGUGAAAACUUGGUUGAUUCUCAGAUAUUCAUGCCUUGCAUUAAGUAGACUGUCAGCAAUUAUUUGUUAAAAAGGUGUAAGUAUGAAUGAAUAAAUGACAUAGAGCAGACAGUAUGGGAAGGUGAAAUGUGGUAAUAAUAUUGCUUUGUAUUUAUGCAAUGCAAUUACCUUCCCAGCUAUCCAUGACAUUGUGGAUGUGGAAAUCAAAACAAAGGUUAGGUGCCUUGUCUAAAGUCAUCUCAUCUAACUAGUACUUAGUAGAACCAGUUCUGGAAUGUUUCAGUGGAAAGAGCCAUCUUUGUGUUUCUUUUCCUGACACCUACCCCAUUCCUUACAAAUGAACAGUGACCUCAAAAAGUGUCAUUUGUAGCUGGGGCUAAAAGUAUAAAUAUUGCGUAUAACGCUAUAAUAGUUACUAUUAGUAAACCACUCAACAUUCAUUCUGCCUUUUUUCUUGGAAUCAAUGUGUGUACGUAUUCACCUUCAAGGAAGGUCAGUCUGUCCCCACUUAAGGGAAGAGUCCUGAUUGGUUUAAACCAACCCUGGUAACUAUAUUGUUCUUGCCAGUUUUGGUUAAAUAAAGAGCAUGUCAGGCACCUGGGUGGCUUAGUCAUUAGGUAUCUGAAUCUGACUUCAGCUCAGAUCAUGAUCUCACGGUUUGUGAGUCUGAGUCCCUCAUGGGGGUGAUCUCGAGCCAUGCUUUGGGUGAGCUCAUGCCCCACUUCAGGUGAACCCUGCUUCUCUCUCCCUCCCUCUCUCUCUCUGCCUCUCAUAGGAUUCUGUCUUUCUCUCUCCCUCUUUCUCUCUGCCCCUCACUCACUUGUGCCCUCUCUCUCUCUCUCUCUUUAAAAAAAAAAAAGAACAUGUCAUUCAAUUCUAGGCACUGAGAUAUGAAGGACCAUCUACUGAGCAGUUUCUGAGAAAGUUGUUUUGGUUCUAAAAAAGACGAGUGAUGGGGCAAUAAACACUCAACACUUUAUAGGAUCAGUGGAUUGGAGAUCCUAAUGACUCAAAGGAGUAUUGCAGUUGGCACAGUUCAAUAUUCUGGAAGGAAAGGAGAUGGUAUUCAGUGAAUGAAAUGCCUAAAAUGGGUAUUUCAAAGAUGGUGGAGUACUUCUUAUUGAUUAAAUGAGACAGUUUAGAAUAUAAGAUUAAGAAAACUUAGCCAAGGCAAGUUAUAGAAUACAAUUCUUUUAGAAUUAAGGAGAUACAAACAAAGAAACAAAAAACAGGCCAAGAAAUCCUGACUCAAAAUUUUUCCUCUGGUUCCAAAUUUCUGUUCCUGCAGGAUUUAAGCCCCAGUGGAUCCUCACCUUCUAAAAGUCUAUGCACUUCUCCCUCUAUGCACCUCAGAUCCCCAGCUCACUCAACAACUAUUCCAUGAAACUUAUUUAAAAAAAUUUAUUUUACACCAACAUUUUGUUUUUGAUAGAUUGGACUGAUGGUUCGCAAAGACGAAAGAGAUGGACAGCACAGAGAUGCCAAUAAUUUUAAAUAUAAUCUUAAAAAAAACUUCAUUCUUAAAGUGAGUGAGAACAGUAUACAUAAGGAAGAGGCAACUGCCCUGGUCAUUGUCACACCCACAUGUGAUGACGGGACCUGCCGCGGGUAUCUUGCAAGCAGACAGGAGCCAGCUUGC